rnacentral:rRNA from 1 species
UACGGAGGGUGCAAGCGUUAUCCGGAUUCACUGGGUUUAAAGGGAGCGUAGGUGGGCUGGUAAGUCAGUGGUGAAAUCUCCGGGCUUAACUCGGAAACUGCCGUUGAUACUAUCAGUCUUGAAUAUUGUGGAGGUAAGCGGAAUAUGUCAUGUAGCGGUGAAAUGCUUAGAUAUGACAUAGAACACCAAUUGCGAAGGCAGCUCACUACACAAUCAUUGACGCUGAGGCACGAAAGCGUGGGGAUCAAACAGG